ACAAACGAAAAAAGCUAGAAUAAAUUAUAACCUGGAUAAAUUGUUAACAGGGCCUUUUAAGUUCUCUCUUAACUAAAUCUUAGUGAAGUCUGAAAAACAAAAGCAAAAACUAAUCUUAACUGGAAGAUGACUUCUUUUUUCUUUUUUAAAUUGAAGUACAGCUGAUUUACAGUGUUCCAAGGUGUACAACAAAGUGAUUCAGUUAUACAUACAUAUUCUUUUUCAGAUUCUUUUCCAUUAUGGAAGAUGACUUCUUAAUCCAAGGACAUACCUCUUAACCCAAGAUCCCAUCCAGAUGACAGCAGUACAUGUAGCUGUCCUGUCUCCUCAAGCUCCUCUUGAUGACCUUGAUGGUUCUGAGGCUACUGGCUGGGAAUAUUGUAAGAUGCCGCUCAGUUUGCCUGUGUCUGAGGCUUUUCUGGUGAUCCGAGCCCGGUUAUGGAUUUGCUGGAGGAAGACCACAGAGGUGCCGGGCUGUUUCAUCACCGGGUGUCACGCAGUUGAUAUGACCAAUCACCGUGCGUGCUGACCUUGGUCAGCCGGCUGAAGGGGCGCUUGGGUUUCCCCACCAUCAAGGCCCGAGCAGCUCUUUGGAGGGUGGCUGGGACAUUUUUAAAGCUGUUGACACAUGGGGAGCUCCUCUUCAGAGAGGUAAGUGACGACGUAAAUCACUGCGGGGUGGGGGGAUGUUCCGGUCCGGGUGUCCUCAAAAUGAAGUACAUUCCAACGAGUCCAGCACCCAGCAUGGUGCCCGGCACAGGGCAGGUAAGUGAUAACUAGCCGUUGAUUGAAUACAUGAAUGAAUAGCUGAUAUUUUAUUGGUAUACGUUUCCCAUAGUGGAGAUUAAUUCAUCCUAUUUCCCACCCACGAGUUCUGCCUUCUUUAGGAAAAGGAACUCAUUUUAAAUGAUGAUAUCAACAACAAAAUACUACAGUUUCUGAGGACUGUGACAAAAAGUAAAAGGAAAGUGUUCCGUCUCCCAAAAUAGCUAUGUUUUGAAACAGAAAAAACAGCUUGGCAUACUUACAUGUCCCUUGGAGUAAAGAUGCAGUGGAAGGUGACGGCUGCCCCCGAUAACUACUACCUGUGUGUGUGCAUGUGCACGUGACUGUGGACAGAAACCCACGUGCUCCUUGCGUUUUCCCAUCACGAGAAGCAAAGAUGCCCCGAGGUUAUCACCUUGGCUGCAGGGCCCACUCUGUCCAGUUUCCUCCUCCUUCUGGUGCUGUUGGGCCCUGGGUGGGCUCAACGGGCACUCCCUCACCUGGGCCGUUCUUCUCCUGCCCUCUCCUGCCCUCUCCUGGGCUGUUCCUUUCCUGCCCUCUCCUGCCAAGCCCCACACCCCGCACCUUGGUAAACUUGGCCUCACAGCGUGGUCUGUCUGUGCAGUGAUUCUGGGGACAGCCUUUCCCGCUGACCCCAGCACACAGUCCACUGGGGACCGGGAUGUGCUCGCCUCCAUAGCCCCGUGCUCACGGCAGGGCAGGACUGGGGAGAGCCAAGGCUCUGAGAGGCUUGGGCGUCCUAGGUUAGGUUGGGUGGGCGGUGCCAGCCGCCAGGCCUGGCUAUGCGGGGUCCUCGGCCCCUUGGCAGCUGCAGGAAGGGCCCGCGUGGUGAGCCAGCUUUGACGUGUCCCAGGGAAGCCUGGGUUCAUAACCUGCGCCCACACUGGGUGCAGCUGGGUGUCAUCUGUUCACUUUUCUAGCUCAUGUUCUCUAUUUCCCAAGACUGAGUGUUAUGGCUGAUUUGUGUCCCCUGAAAUUUCAUAUGGUGAAGUCCUAACCCUCAGUAACUCAGAGUGUGUUUGGA